rnacentral:rRNA from 1 species
UACGUAGGGUGCAAGCGUUAAUCGGAAUUACUGGGCGUAAAGCGUGCGCAGGCGGUUUUGUAAGUCUGUCGUGAAAUCCCCGAGCUUAACUUGGGAAUUGCGAUGGAGACUGCAAGGCUGGAGUCUGGCAGAGGGGGGUAGAAUUCCACGUGUAGCAGUGAAAUGCGUAGAGAUGUGGAGGAACACCGAUGGCGAAGGCAGCCCCCUGGGUCAAGACUGACGCUCGUGCACGAAAGCGUGGGGAGCAAACAGG